CUUCUUCCACCUGCUGCGGGCAGAUGAAAUGGAUAUGCGCGUCAACCCCGCCGGCGGUGAGGAUGCGCCCUUCCCCGGCGAUGAUCUCGGUGCCGGGGCCGAUCGGAAUGGUCACGCCCGGCUGCGUAUCGGGAUUGCCCGCCUUGCCGAUGGCGUGGAUGCGCCCGUCGCGCAGCGCCACGUCGGCCUUGACCACGCCCCAAUGGUCCAGGAUCACCGCAUUGGUGAUCACCGUAUCGGGCGCGCCCUGCGCCCGCGUGAUCUGGCUUUGCCCCAUGCCAUCGCGGAU
rnacentral:sRNA from 1 species